GGUUGAUCAGAGAGCAUACAUU
rnacentral:miRNA from 1 species